CUGGUUGGUGGUGGCGGGAUUGCGACUCUGGUUGGUGGACUGCUGGGUGAUCUGGCUGCCCUUCCGGCGCGGUGGUGCCAAGUACUCGAACAUGGACGUCAGGUGGGUGGAGAGCAUGCCCUUGAGGUCGGAGGGCAUGGGGUCGGACCAGAAGAAGUCGUGGUUGAGGGCGUCAUCGCUGUCGAUGCGCUGGGCAGGGUCCAGCACCAGCAGCUUGUCGAUGAGGUCCAGUGCGUAUGGGUCACGCACAUAGGCCUUCAGCCUGUCCUUCACCUUCCGCUUCUGGCCCUUGACCAGCUCCAGCUUUUCAUACAGCUCAUAGUUGUCCACGUUUGGCCACACCUGGGAGGGAGGGGGCGUUGAGAGUCACUUCGGCGUCCCUUGGAGAGAUCCCGCUACCCUCACGGGCGCCUCUCUGCAGCCCCUCCCCGCCCCCACCACGGGCCUCAGGCUCCUCCCCACGAGCCGGCUCCGUCAGGCCGGGGCGGGGUGCGGCGCGGCCUAGAGACCAGCAGACAAGCCCGGGGACAGACGACUUCUCUACCAACUUGGGGGGGGCCCCGGGCAUCCCGACGUCGGCCCUAGGGGUGCAGGCCCAGG
rnacentral:lncRNA from 1 species